ensembl:lncRNA CCDC26 CCDC26 long non-coding RNA
GCUACAGUGCUACUGGCCCAUAAUCAGGCAACUGCAGAGUCUUAGGGGGUUAUCUAAUGUAGUCUUGGGGUGGCUGGAUAGACUUCCCAAAGAAGGUGAUGCCGAAGCUGAGGUCGGAAAUUACGAAGAUCAGCUAUCAAACUUGGAAAUCAUGUCUUAGAGAUCAAGGAGCCAAGAGAUGAGACAAGCCUGGGUUCCUAGGUGAUAGGGUGUGGCUGUGUCCCCACCCAAAUCUCGUCUUGAAUUGUAGCUCCCAUAAUCCCCACAUGUUGUGGAGGGACCCUGUGGAAGAUCUUUAAUAAAUGAAAUAAAUGUGACUGUAUGUCCUACAUCCCAUUCCUGUUGUCUUCCAUGUCUCCUCAGAGAACUACCUCAGGAACAUACCAGGAAAGCUGAGAGAAUCCAAAGACCCUUUGAAGGACCUGGAUCACUGCUGCAGGCUCCUUGAGAUGCCGAAAAACUCAUCUACUUGUUUCCAAAGUUAUUUGGGUCAGCAUUUUCCUCCACCCACCACUUAAAACUGAUUUGUUUCAUACAUUUGAAAUGUAUGAAAAGCCAGAAAUCCAGGACCCACCCUGGCCUGCUCCCUUUUUCUCACCUACUGUGUUAAGAUGUCUACACUUUUACCUCUGCUUGCCUGAUACAACCACCACCAGUCACCUCACAGAAUAACUCACUCCUUAAGAAUCUGAUCAGGAAUCAGCCUUCCCUGAUCACAAACACUGAGUUUAGAAGUCCCUCCACAGUGUCCCCCGUAACCCUGUGCUACCUCACUGCCUCAUAGUUUAGUGCCGUUUGUGUACAUGCCUAUCUUCGUCCAUGGAUCCAGAACAACUUGUAAAAAUGACUGUACUUAUCACCUUCAGUAUUCAAUGACUAAACUAUAAUUUUAACAUAUCUGGCAGAAUGAAUCACUUGGGGAUUUCUGCCAACACUACCAAUAUAUUACUCCUAAUUUGUAAUUAUUACUUAGCAUGGAUUAUAGUACCGGCUGUUGGAGAGCCAAUGUGGCAGACCCUAAGUGGAAUAAAAUGUCAGUAGCAGUCUAGGAGCAUAUAUUUAUUGGAAUAGAUCAUUCAUUCAUUUGUUCAUUAACUAAUUUGUUCAUUAAAUAAACAUUUAUUAAG